rnacentral:rRNA from 1 species
CCUACGGGAGGCAGCAGUGAGGAAUAUUGGUCAAUGGACGCGAGGCUGAACCAGCCAAGUCGCGUGAAGGAUGACUGCCCUAUGGGUUGUAAACCUCUUUUAUCUGGGAAUAAAAUGCUCCACGUGUGGGGUUUUGUAUGUACCAUAUGAAUAAGCAUCGGCUAACUCCGUGCCAGCAGCCGCGGUAAUACGGAGGAUCCGAGCGUUAUCCGGAUUUAUUGGGGUUAAAGGGUGCGCAGGGGGGUAGUUAAGUCAGUUGUGAAAGUUUGGGGCUCAACCAUAGCAUUGCAGUUGAAACUGGCGUUCUUGAGUGCAGGAGAGGUAGGCGGAAUGCGUGGUGUAGCGGUGAAAUGCAUAGAUAUCACGAAGAACUCCGAUUGCGAAGGCAGCACACUGGAGCGCAACUGACGCUCAGGCACGAAAGUGUGGGUAUCAAACAGGAUUAGAUACCCCAGUAGUC